GGUGAGUAACGCGUGGAAACGUGCCUUUCACUACGGAAUAGCUUUUGGAAACGAAAGGUAAUACCGUAUACGCCCUCCGGGGGAAAGAUUUAUCGGUGAAAGAUCGGUCCGCGUUAGAUUAGGUAGUUGGUGGGGUAAUGGCCUACCAAGCCUACGAUCUAUAGCUGGUCUGAGAGGAUGAUCAGCCACACUGGGACUGAGACACGGCCCAGACUCCUACGGGAGGCAGCAGUGGGGAAUAUUGCACAAUGGGCGAAAGCCUGAUGCAGCCAUGCCGCGUGAAUGAUGAAGGCCUUAGGGUUGUAAAAUUCUUUCGCUAGGGAUGAUAAUGACAGUACCUAGUAAAGAAGCCCCGGCUAACUUCGUGCCAGCAGCCGCGGUAAUACGAAGGGGGCUAGCGUUGUUCGGAAUUACUGGGCGUAAAGCGCACGUAGGCGGAUUUUUAAGUCAGAUGUGAAAUCCCAAGGCUCAACCUUGGAACUGCAUUUGAAACUGGAAGUCUAGAGAUCAGGAGAGGUUAGUGGAAUACCGAGUGUAGAGGUGAAAUUCGUAGAUA
rnacentral:rRNA from 1 species